UGAUUUUUCAGUUGUGGUAUGUUCCUGUUCACGGAGAGAAGUGAGAAUUUUUUGUAGGUUUAUGGCCUAGAUAGUCAGGAUAUUUUGUGGAGCCUCUGAAGUGUUACCACUCAUCUUUAUCCUUGCCCGCUAUUAUGCAUGAAAUGCAUUUGAAUUAUUUUAGAGAAGAUGUAAAUUCUCGUAUUAUCCAGUGUCAGCUUAAAGCUGAUUAGCAUUGGCACAGAAGUUAAAGCGUCUGCCUGCAGUGUAGGAGACCUGGGUUCAAUCCCUUGGUUGGGAAGAUCCCCUGGAGAAGGAAAUGGCAAUCCACUCCAGUAUUCUUGCCUGGAGAAUCCCAUGGAUGGAGGAGUUUGGUGGGCUACAGUCCACGGGUUGCAAAGAGUCGGACACGACUGAGCGACUUCACUUUCACUUUACAGCUCAUAAAUGAUCCACUUCCCUUCUCGGUGAGCAGGCUGAAAGUCUUCAAGAAGGCACCUGCUGCAGGCCUGGCCACUCCUUGGCCUGUGACUUGGAGAACAUCCUAGACUUUUUGUGGGUCCCUCUGUGGCUUGGUCAAUGAAAGAUGUAGCACUUAAGCCUCAGGAACGCGUGGAGAAACGCCAGACCCCUCUGACCAAGAAGAAACGAGAAGCACUUACCAACGGCCUGUCCUUUCACUCCAAGAAGAGCCGACUCAGCCACCCACACCACUACAGCUCAGACCGAGAAAAUGACCGCAACCUCUGCCAGCACCUCGGGAAGAGAAAGAAAAUGCCGAAGGGGCUCAGACAGGUGAGGAUGCUUAGGGCUUGUUCCGUCCUGUGGCUGCUCUUCCUCAGGUGCCUACUUGUCUGUGGUUCUUCCUAACAGAUGGAGAGGAGAUCCCUGGUGGGUGCUGGAGGGCUGCCCUGCAGAGCCAUGUGUUUGCUUCUCAAAGAAUAUUCCAAAACCAAGCACUUUGAAACUUAGCACAGUACCUUUCAGUCACAUGUGCUCUGUGUAACAGAGACUGAUGCUCAUGCUAUUGGCAUUGAAGGCAGACUGAUGGAGGUCUUGGUGAUGGUCCAGGUAGACUGGCUUGCAGGGAGAGAUCGUCUUGGGUAGAGGAAAGGAAAUGGGCAGAUCUGAUCAUACGCACUGUGUGUAUCAAGGUCCUGAAUUGCUAAAAAUGGUUGUCUGUAUUCAGGCAGGGGACCCUGCCUAAGAUUUGUAUUUUCUAGUGAAGCUCAAAUACUGUGGCAUGUGGGAGAGCAGUGGUGAAGAAAUGAGGUUUUUUAAGGUGUUCUCCACAGCCCAUAAUUCAGAACUGCUUUUGUGAUCUGCCGCUUGUAUGAAAGCCUGGUGGUAGAGCUUACUGGGCUGUUUAAUAAUUAGGUUUCAAUGAUCCACAAGAAAAUUCAGCUCUUGGCAUUUGGGGAAUCCUUCUGCCUGUGGAAAUCCCCACAUGAGAUAGAUUAAUAAUGAGAAGCGAAGCUGUUUAUAGCAGUUUUUUCAGCACAAAUCCAGAGGCUUUAGCACCUGCCAAGUUACCUGUGUCCUGGGUGUGUUUUGUUUGUUUUUGGAGGGACUAUGGGGUGAGACUGACUGUCUCUUGAAGGAAGCAGAGGGAGCGUGGUUCACAGAGCAGGUGCUGCUAAUUAGAAGCUGAACAGGUAAUUUCUAGUUUGCAGAUGUUUCUCUGCAGAGUGAGAAGAUCUAGGAUCAUACAAAUCAGUGGUUCUAAAACAUCAGAGAUGAUUAGAAUCAUAUCAUGAGCCUUAUUAAACAUAUUCCUGGCUUCACCUUAGAACUGAAGAAUCAGAAUCACUAGGCAUUUUGGCACAGAAGUUUGUAGUCUUAGAAAUUUCCUAUUUGAUAAUGGUCAAGCCAGUUGAAAAUCAUUCUUAUAAAGAAUCAAGAACGUUUUUCUGCUGAUGAAUUUUAGUUAAAAGUUUGGAAAAAUGAAACUCUCUAAAAGAUUUAGUGAGCAGUUUGGUGUUAGAGUUGAACUUGCUGGGUAAACUUCUGAGAAAAUACAUGGAGUGAUGGAUUUCAGCAUGGACUCAGGAGGAUCUCAGGAAAGUGUCCCUGAUUCUAACACAUUUGGCAGUUUUUCUUUGUCAUCAAAUAAAUUGCCAGAUUGGAGUUAUAAAGGUAAUUACUAACAUUUGUCUAAUACAUAGCACGGUUAUCACUCAGUGAAGGAGUUUCUGUAGUAUGAUCUAUAAUUUUCACAACAACCCUGGUGAGGAGAUGAUAUGAUAUUAUGGUUACUUUACAGAUAGGAAAACUGGGGGUUAAAGAAAUAAAGUGACUUGUCUGAGGCCACUUAGCUGUGAGGGACAGAGCCAGGGUUUAGACCUAGAUUUCUCUGCCCUGCUCUGUUUUUAUUGAUAUUGUGCUUCCUGUGGUUGACAUAAGGACUCCAGGUCGUGGGGUGCAGGGAAUCUACAAGUAUUUUUAGAAAGUUUAUGGGUUGGUUUAGUCAGAGGGAGGGAUUGUGGUUAUAGAAAUGGACUGUGAAAGCUCAAGAAGAAAAUAGGAUAAACUCCCAAGUACAGUGAGGAUAGAAUAUUUGGAUGAAAAUUAAAAAAAAUAUCUAUCUAUAUAUAUAUAUUUGGUCAGAAAGUGGGGUGAGGUCUAAGUUCUGUAAAAGAUAAUGUGCCUGUGUUAUUUGUGACUCACAGACCAAGCCUUUCCCUGUGAGCUGUGUGAAAAAAGUGGGUUUUCCAAUGUGCAGAGAUCGUCCUGUGGCCACUGCCUCUCCAGGAGGGCCUCCCUCCUACAGGGUGGGAGGAGGGCUUCUUAUCCUUUCAGGCAAGAGAUCAGUUUAAUUCUGAGCCCUCACAGAGCUGUGGUUCCUUAUCCUUGACUCUCUUACUCCCAAGCUUGAUCUGACUUUUCUGUUCUCCUUCCUCAAAAUUCUUCUUUCUACUUUGUCCUCUAGUUGAAAGAGUCUGUGAUCUUACAAGACGGCUAGGACUUGUCUGUCUCAAAUUUGAGUAGCUUUUUGGUCUUAAUGAUCAAUCUUCUGGUACUAACAGUGUUUGAAAUCAAAGCUAUCCUUGCUUCAGGGAAGAUAUUUGAAAAGCAGUUAGUCUGACUCACUUUUUAUGAAUCAGAGAGAAGAAAAGAAUGAACUGUAUUUUGGGCCUGUGUAAGAGUUUUAAAAACAAGUGGUGUUUUCUGUAGCCCAUGGGGUCGCGAAGAGUCGGACUUAACUGAGUGACUUCACUUUCACUUUUCACUUUGAUGCACUGGAGAAGGAAAUGGCAACCCACUCUAGUGUUCUUGCCUGGAGAAUCCCAGGGACGGGGAGCCUGAUGGGCUGCCGUCUGUGGGAUCGCACAGAGUUGGACACGACUGAAGUGACUUAGCAGCAGCAGCAGCAGCAGCAGCAGCAGUAGUAUCAUAUGUGCUAUUAUUUACUCCUGAGCAAAGCACUGUCUGUUGCUGCCCAUCUGUAAAAUGAGAGUUUUAGAGUAGAAGAUUUCUCAGUCCUGUGAUUCUUCUUACUGUUUGAAUAACACAAAGAUAGUGAAUAUAUAGUGUUGCUAAAACCUGUAAUGGAAUACCAUUGUAGGCCUGAAAGUAAUUUAAUUUUGACGUCUGUAACUGAUUGGAUCUGUGAAAAUAUUAAGGGGAGAGAGAGAUGCGUUCCUGGUAUGUCAGCCCAGGUAAGUGCUGUCUGUUGUGUGAUCCUCGGUAAAAGGUGACACACAGAUGCGUAUAAUGGUUACAGUAGAUGUUCCAUAACUUGUGCUAAGAAUGUCUGAGACUGCUAUCCUGCCAUGCCAGAUGUCUGUGCACAUCACAGUUACUUCUGCCACCCCACCAUUGCCUCUUUUCAGAUACAGUAGCCGCAUCUUAACUGUUUUAGCUACGAGGGGACCUUGAGAUGGAAGUGGGCCUUGAGGAGAAUUUCUAAAUUAAUGGAUUGUUGUUCAAUGCCUCCCAUUGAGGGAGUGAUAAAAUUGCAAGAGCCACAGAUGAAAGAGAGCAGCAGGAGGUGAGAAUUUAUUCUUUAGUUUUGACUUGGUGACAGUGGAUUAGAUUUGAAUCUUACUAGGAAUUGGUACUCCCUAAGCAAGGAACUUAAUGUGCAGCUUUCCGUAACUGUGGGAAGAUGUUACUCCUCAGUGCAGAGAAAAUAAAAGGUGUUUUUUUUUUUUUUUUCCUGAAACUUCAUUCAAGGCAACUAAUCUUUUUACUGUGAGAAU
ensembl:lincRNA